ACUGCCAAAGCUCCCAGCUGCUCUUAUUUGUUUAAGUUUAACCUUAGCUGAUCCACUGGAAAAGGAAACAGGCUAGUUUGUCAAGCCAGGAGACAGCUGCUGCUCUCUAGAAACCUUUCUUAUACUCUAGAAAUCGGACACUGCUAGUUCCUGAGGCUAGCUACUACCACACUUUCAAAACCUUCUGCUCUGAAGGAGCAUAAAUAAUUGGCCAAGUCCAUUUCUCCCACCAGUACCCCCCUGGGACACCCCAUGGGAACUUAGUCCUUGUAUGGAUUUACCCUAGUGCCAUCCACAGAGGCAAACACCAGACCUGGCAGCAGGUCCCAUCCCAAAGCUAAUGUGCAGGCAUCUCGUCUCUGUAGGUGGUAGCUACUCUGCAUGCAUGGAAUCAAACUCCCUGAUCCAUCCAAACGGCCCAGGAACUGUUCACGAGGCUGGAGCUCUGCAGAACUGAGUGUGUGGGUCCAGCGCUUCCACAGAGGAGCCAUCUGUGGCUCUGGAAUGGUGUGCUCUGCCCAAGGUGGCUGGGCAAACUUUCACAGGACGGGAUGCUGGCUUUGCUCCUCUCUAGCUGUGUGGCCUUGGCUGUGGUGACAGAUCACCUUGCUGAACAUCUCCAUCUAAAACAGCAGGCUGGACUGCACAACACCCCUUUUCUGUCAUGGCAGUGAGGAGAACCCCGGUUCCAGAUGCAACCCUCUCAGCACUUUCUUGCUAAUACGCUAGCAGCAACAAGGUCCUUACGGAGGCCCAGUGCACCAUGCAAUGGGCAGCUGGGAAGAAGGGGUGUGAGAUGACACCCACGUGAGGUGCUAAAGCAACCACCACAGGAUGGUGGCAGUGUCUCACAGCGCUGCUGCUUCUGGGAAAGCCUCUGCUGACCAACAACCCCAACGACCGGGCAUUCCAGGUGCCCCGCACCACUCAGCUCUAAGCAGGUCUGCAGGGCAGAGGUGGGGCAGUCAACUUACUCACUACGGCCAGGAGUAGAACUCUGAGUGCUCUGGAACUUUAACUCUCAACUCACUCAUCCUGACCCUACAACACAGAUCCUGCGCAGGGGACAAGGCAUAAACAACUUGAAUGAGUUCUUCACUCAUUCGAAAAGAGAGAGCGAGCCCACGCCAGUGAGACAGCAAGUUCCAGUCAGAGUAACUGAAGCCCAAGGAAGUCAUAACUUUACAGCUGCAAAUAGCUACUAUGACAAUGGGUAGCCAGAACAAAGCUGCCCGUGAUCCUGUAUGUUGAGUCCACAGAGAAGGUAAUACAUGACCACCUAACGGAGGCCCAGGCUGUCCCUGGAGAAGAGGAGAGGCUCACGGCAGCAGAAGCUGCAACUGUCCAUAGCUCCUGCCCAAGCUGCACUAACUGCAGGCAUUCAGGAAGAGGCCUGGGUUACAGGAGCACAGGCCCUUGCUCCUCUGCAUCUGCUCCCAGGUUCCUAGUUAACAUCUGUAGGCAGUUGAGAAGCAACAGAACUGGGCCUGCUUGGCUCACCCUGACUGGUAGGUCUCAAAACCCAAGUCAGAGAAUGUUCUGGCUGCUUGCUGGGAGCUGACAAUGGAGGCCUUUAAACAGCCACUCAUUCAUGCCAGCCAUCAAUGAAGAAAGGGAGGCAGAUGCCAAGAGCUCAAUACCAGAGAGAUGCCAGGGAAAGCAGUGGGAGGAGAGAAGAGGUAGGGGUCUGUGCAGGAUGGAGAUCUGCAGAUGCAGGAAGCUCUGUGAGUCACAGAAGGUACAACUUGCAAAUGGUCACAGUUAUGUGAUUUUUUUCCCCCAGGAAAGACAUCCAUACCUGAAAAGCCCAUUGAACCACAAGAACUUUAGCAUGUCUGUCUGUCUGUCCCUCUCUUUGUGUACUGAGAUAGGGUCUUGCUAGGUAGCCCUGGCUAGCUUAGAACUCUGUAGUCCAGGCUACCUCCUAACUUGCCAUCCUGCCACUUAGUGCUGAGAUCACAGCUGCCUGCUGCUAUGCUUGUGGGGGAUCUCAGUUAGCUAACACACUGCUCGUCCCCACAGCUGUGCCUAACCUAGAUAUGGCAGCUUACGUGACUUGACUAUUGCUAGAGUAAAAUACCAUGGCCAAAGUAACUAAUGGAAACAUCCGGGACUCACGCUGUGAACCAUGUGCACGAAGCAAUGAGCGUGAACUGGAGGUGGUGUCAUCUGGAGAUGGUGUCAACUGGAGAUGGCGUGAACUGAAGAUGGUGUGAAUCUUUAAACUUUCAAAGCUCAUCCCGAAGGCCACACGUCCUUCAACAUGGCCAUAUCUCCUAAUUGUCCCAAGCAGUGCUACCAACUGGGACCAAGUACUUAAUCAUCCAAGGCUAUGAAGGACAUCUCAUUCAAACCACCACACGGCUCAAAUCUAUAAUUCAAUUACAAUUCUGAGGCAGGUGGACUGAAUUCCAGGCCAGUCAGACUACAUAGCAAGAGUCUUUUUAAAAAAAAAGCAAGAAAGGAACAUAUUUAAGACACUCCUACACAAAUUAAUAGAUGGAAAGUAACUACUCAAUGUCUAGUUCCCUGCUCCAGGUCUUGCCGCAUACCCCAGGUACCACCCUCCUGCCUCCAACUCCUGAAUGCAGGGGUUGCGCAUGCACUGCUGUGCCUGCCUCCUGAUGGUUUCCUUCUGUUCGGGCAGGUUAAUAAAAAGCCUCGGAGACAAGGAAUUAACAUAACACAGAACCACGAAAGAGACCCUGCACACAUUAUUCGAUAUCUCUGCCUAUUAUUAUCACGACUUUAUGGAAUUGCUGAGAGAACUGAACUGUGGUUGGGGAGCGCUUAGGUCCAUGCCAGGACGCACCAAGCUCGGAUGAGAUGCUAACAUCGUCUAUCCACCGCCACAGCUUCAUUGUAAGACCGACCCCUCCGUCCCUCACAAAGUUCAGCAAAGAGACAACUCAAAACAUGAAAAGCCCCUCUAAGCAUCCCUUAUCUUCUUCAUCCUCUGACCUCUCCAUAAGGGAGGAAGAAGCAGAGAUGUAAAAGGAAGUUUAAAGCCUAAAACUCUGAGGCAGCACCAAGUGGCCGGCUACAUGUCCUCACUGACUCUGUGAGUGAGUGUGUGUAUCUCUGCCUUCAGGGGCCUGCCCAAGUAAUACAGAGAUGAAGGAGACAUGCCUGGCUCAAUGCAGGAAAAGGAAGGCAGGUUCAGGAAUGGAAUGCAGCGGUGGACCGAUGCUCUGAGGCAGCCUGGCCUGGAUCAAGUUCCUCCUGCUGUGACACCUUCCCUAGCAAGCGACCUUAUGGAUGCCUGGCCUCUCUGCCCCAUGGCUUUGGACAGUUCCUACACUGGGUCUUCACAACCAUUUGCUUUCUCUUCUGCAGCUGCUGCAGUGCUGAGCCUGCUAGAGUCUCAAGGAAGAGCUAAGACUGUCAUUACUCCAGAUUCAUCUCACCCUUCUGCCCCCCCCCCGCCCCCGCCCCCGGGUUCCUUGCUAAGCUCUGCAUCCAGCUUGCUUCCAUGGCUUCCCAACAGGAAGCUCUGCUCUGUGCCCAUGGCACCUUAGGAUUCUUUACACAGAUGCUGAUGCUUCGAGAAGGCACAGGACUCUGAAGGUCCCGGCCAAAAGAGAGUGAGCAGGAGUUCAAACACAAGCCUCUGCCCUGGCCUGGACUUCUUACAUCUUUCUUCUUUCCUGAAAGCUCUGAUGUCACCACCAGAGUGACUGUCUCUUCUGUUCCGGAGGACAUGACACAGUCUCCCAAGAAGGCAGCAAGCAACACAGCCGUCCUAAGGGCUCCCUUCUGUCACCAAGACAGAACCCAGGAACUGUUGUUCCUUGCGAUCUGUCUCAGAGAAGCACGGCCCCAUCAGGAUUUACCAGUGGCCUCCCAAUCACCUGACGCUUUCCUAGUCUUUGUCCUCUAGCUCCGUGUCACUGGACAUAGUGGUAACUGGGCUCACAUGCUUACUUUCCUGCGCUCCCCUGACCUGGACUUUCUAGCCACCUAGGAUAAAGGGCGUGGCUGUUGCUUAGGGCAGCUUCACUCUGUGGUCCAGGCUGAUGUGGAACUUGUGACCAUCUUGUCCUAGCUCCCCAUGCCUAGCCUUUAAGGCUGUUCUUUUUCAAAUUUGCCACCUCUUCAGCAUGAUUGCACUGAAGAGGCAUACCCAGCUUUUGGGGACUACCUUCCCAAGGCUUUCCCCUUCCCGUGUCAAUGGCUAGAAAGUGAACGGACGGCCACCUGGGCUGUGACCAACAGGUCCUGAGAACACAGACUUCCACCCAGCCCUGUGCUCGUCUCUGCUGAGGUCAUUCAGCUCCUGGGAUCUUCAGCAUCUCUCUUAGUCAUCAGGACCACAUUUCUGGGCAUUGUGGGCAUAAUUCACACAGUGUUCUCCUAGAACGCAGGCUGGACACCUCAGCACACAGCCCUGCUCACCCAUACCUGGCCGCACCCCUGUCACCUUACCCCUCAGACUUGUCCCACUCCUUCCUCCUCCCCUGACUUCCUCCUGCCCCUCUGGGAAGAAUCCUGGCUGCAAGCUGUUCCUGCCUCUGGCUUGUUCCAAGCUAAGACUCCCAAUUUCUACCCUUCAGAGCAUGUGGCCCCCAGGCUGCCACCCCACUCCUCAAGUUUCAACAGUACCGCUCUGUCUCUGGAAUAAAGACUGACAUUUGAGAGCCAA